rnacentral:lncRNA from 1 species
CAAUGCCAAGGGCCCAGAAUCCUUUGUAGGAAACCACCAAACGGCUGGCACCAGGCUGAGCAGCUCACACACCUAGGCCUCUCUCCCGAGGACUUCGUAGGCUCCGCCAGCCUCCCGGUCUCAGCCUCCUGCAGUCCAGUGUGUGUGUGGCGCAGUGACACUCGGUUACAGCUGCGAGCUGAGAGGAUGGGAAUCCUCGGCCUUCACUGGACAGCCAGCCUAGCCUACACAGACCAAUAAGAGACCCUGUCUCACAAAACAAGGCGGAACAGAACCGGAGGAGUGACAGGUCUCCAGCAGAAGGUGUAGCCCAGAUUAAAGGUGUUGCCACCAUGCCUUUAAUUCCAGAUGACCUUGAACUCAGAGAUCUCCCUGUCUUAAUCUUCUGGAAUUCAUAGCCACUAUGCUUCAAGUGUGGAGGUUGGUUUUGGAGACUAUAUAACCUGUGGCUAUGAGGUUUUACAGAUGAGAUGGUUGCUGCCAAGUAUGAAGAUGGAGUCUGAUUCCUGGGGUGCAUGGCUAGUGGACAGAACUGACUCCCACAAGUUGUCCUCUGAUUUCCACAGCAAAUUUCUUGUUUUGUCUUCUAAUCUACCAACCCUUUGAAUGGCCAGAUGUUGAUAUUUUAUACACGGUCUGGACAAUCCAACUGAGGGUCUUGGUCUCACACGGCUAAUACUUGACCAGCUGAGAUAUCUCAGCACCUUUGAAGUCCAGAAACUCAGUGCAUGCAAAGCCCCCGCAAGUCUCUGUGCUGGAUCUUACAAGGAAUGAAGGCGUCACUCUAAACCUUCGGAGCCAGGGUGUGGUCAAUCAUGGGAUUGUUCCCAGGAAAUCCCUUUUGUUCCAGACCAGUCUGUCCACUCGGCGAGUGAGAAGACUGAAGAAGAUGGAUUUUAUUUUUCUACUCUUUUUGGGGAUGGGCGCACUGCCUUCAGCCUCUGGAAGAUACACCAUACUGGGGAUUGAUGGGAGAUGCGGAGGCUGAGUUUCGCCAGGCUAUCUAUCGUGAACUCCAGGGCUCCUGGGUCUGCUUCCCAAGCACCACGUCCAGCUUCUUACAUAGGUUCCUGGGAUCUGAACUCAGAACCUCAGGCUUGCACGAAGGCACGGAUCCUGCUGUUGGCCAAGAGGACAGGAUCAUGCAUGGUAUCAACAACUGGAGGUGCAGGAGCAGUAAUUAAGAAACGAUUUAACAGGCAGGAGAGAUGUCUCCGUGGUUAAGAGCCUGACUGCUCUUUCGAAGGUCCUGAGUUCAAAUCCCAGCAACCGCUUGGUGGCUCACAACCAUCCAUAAUGAGAUCUGAUGCCCUCUUCUGGGAUGUCUGAAGACAGCUGCGGUGUACUUACAUAUAAUAAAUAAAGAAAUCUUUGAGCCAGAGCGAGCAGGGCCAGAGAGAGAAAAAAAGUGUCUGAAGACAGUAUACUUACAUAGCUCUGGAACAGCCCUUCAGUCUUUACAAGCUUCGCAUGGUCUGCUC